rnacentral:lncRNA from 1 species
UUGUAUAAGAGCUAUGCCUAAAACUGAAGUGGAUUAGUGAAACUGGUCAUUUAAAGAGCAUAAUGGAUUUGAAUAUGCAAAACUCCACCAAUACUUUACUUUUAUUCUAAUUUUUGUGUACAUGGUCUUGCUGCUCGAAAACUAAUUCUACUAUCAUCAACAAGUUAUGAGUGUUAUGUGCAUAAGAAGUUAAAUUUGUCUUGUCUAUACAGAUAUCACAUUUGGUUCCAAAUUAGUGCUAUGAUGUAUGCUUUAAGAAGUGAAGAUCAAUACAGUGGCUGAGGGUUGUGUGUGUUGGCUGUGGGGGUUGUAGCUGAGGUGGCAGCGACCAUUGCUAGCUAGAGGUAUUGACAUGCGUUAGCGUGCAACUGGAGCACAGAAGGGCAUGGUCGGAGGCAAGAAAUAAAGGACUCUCUAAAGUGUAGUAUGAAUCUCUCCCUGCAAUAUUAGCUUAAUGCACUUGGUUUUCUAGGUUGCAGAGCAUACUAUUUCUGUUACAUGUUUUACUUCACUAUUUUUUUAAAAAAAUUGGAGAGAUGAUUCCAGUACUCUCUACCAAUGUGAUGUUAGAAUCAAGAUGCAUGUGUCACUCGUUCCAUCAAGUUUAUAAUGAAUUUUCUAUUUUGUUGCUGAUGAUCUGAAAUCCCCGGUUUAUCCUUGCUCAAUGUUGCUUAAUAUACAUUUGUUAUUUUGAGUCUGAUGCAAUAACAAUACAUGGUGUAAACAGGAAACUGAAAGGUGCGCCUCCCACCUGGCACAACCCAGCUUCCUCUUAGGAGGCGCCACAGGGUGCUGACUGUCGGAAUUAAGGAGCAAGAGGAGAUUUUCGCUUUAAUCAGAUCUAGAUUUUUGUGAACCUGAAAAAAAAGAGGUAAAGAUCCAUACUUUUGGAAAAGCUCUGCAUUGGGAUGAGAUGACAGAUGACUUAGAGAUGGGCCUGACAAAAUAAAGGGAAGAGAGUUUAUUUUGACAAAUGGUCAUCUGUUCUCGUUUUUAUUCUGCAAAUGCUGUUGAGAAACCAUCCAAGACUGGUGGGUGUCUUUACAAAAUUAAUGGCCACUAUUUCUGAUCGACGGAGGCGGGGACAGGCGGCGCAUCCCCAUGCCCUUGCCGGGAUUGGGCUCCGGCGUGGGAGGCAGCCUCACCGGCGUCCUCUGCCCCAGGCGCCGCGCAGCUCCCACACCCAGCACCGUCCCUCCACGGCGCAGCCCCUCCGGUCGACCCCACUGGCCGGCGCCGCCGCCACCUAGUCAUCAGUAACGAAACCACAUCAAUCACCUUCACCUACACACAGCAUGUAACUAGGAUGCAGAACACUCAUGCGUACCUGGAGCAUGCCGCGGCAAGGGAUGCGUGGCGUCCGCCAGCAGGAGGAUGAGGGAGGCGGCGACGAGCAACCAGAUGGCUACGCUUCGGCCCAUCAAGCCGCACGCGUGGGCGGAUCACAGUCAGGGACAGCUUCAGCUGGCGAGAUCACAGCUCGAGUGAAGCGACUGCGACGCUGCUCCUUGAGAGACUCUGUGACAGUGUGGCUGUCUCUGCAGGUGUGAGAUUGUGGGAUGUUGGACGUACGGUUAUGUAGUUUUCACUUGAAUCCUCGACCCCGGCCCCGGGGCGUGUUGUGUUGGCAUCGAGGCAUUCGCGUGUGUCCGUUUCGUC